GGGAAUGUAGCUAAGUGGUACAGUGCUUUCCUAUUAUAUAUGAGGCCCUGGGUUCAAUCCCAGUACCCCCC
rnacentral:tRNA from 1 species